UUUCCUUUCUCUUUGACUUGAGUGUCAUUGCCAUGACAGCAAGGGGCCACACCUCCUAAUUUUCUCUUAGACCUUGGCUCUAAUCGUCAUCAUACCACCAUCGCCAUCGACCCCAUCCCCUCCUUCUCCUCUCUGCCCUCUCCCUUAUUGAAACUCCUGUUCGACUUGGGAAAAAAGAAAGAAAGAGAGAGAAAGAAUGAAAGAAUGAAAGAAUGAAAAAUAAGGAAAGAAAGAGAGAGAGG
rnacentral:lncRNA from 1 species